AAUGUCUAGGGCCCCAAAGAGGUAGGUAAAUAUGGAUGGGGUGGAUCAGAGAGUAGAGAUGAGUAGAAGUAGUUCUGAGAUGGUCUGGAGAAUACACAGGAAAGAGAAAGACGAAUGUGCAGUUAUGAAGGCCAAGAAAAGCAGGGAAGCAUGUUUAUUUCCGAGGGUGAUGCAUUUACACCCCUGCUGGGCCAGGAGCCAGGCGAUGCCAUGUUGACUUCCAUUUACCUCAAAGGAGCUUUCAUUUGCAUCUCUGCAAUGACAGCCACAGAUGACAGAACUCAAGCCCUGGGGUGGGGCGGGCAAUGAGAAGAGUCAUUCAUGUCAUGCCAGGAGGAUGAUGUGAUGCCAAGCAGGGGAAUUCAAAUACAAGAGUGAGGCAGGAAGCUGCAGCCAGAAUGUUUUCAAGAGAAGGAAACAAGAGACAUUCAUGGGAAUGAUUCUCAAUGAAUUCUGCUUUGAGAUGCAAUGUUCAAGCUCCGGAGUAGUAGCAGAAGUGGAUGCUAUGGUGUUGGAAGUGUUUGCAUUCAAUGAACCACCAGGUUGCCUGUUUAAUGACAAGAACAACAAUUAAUCACACUCUUAAACAUUUCCAUUUCACCCCACCUUUGAAAAGUCUUAACAUCUACUCAUAUUCCUGCCUGCUCUCUGUUCAUCACAAAAUGUUUCACUUGGGGAUGGAAAAACAGCCAAAGAUCUUCUUCCUAAGUUGACUUCCUUAGUUUAGAAGUUGUCAGGUUUUCAUACAACUAGCUAAACCUAAAGGAAUAGGAUAAAGAAGUGAUUCAUAAAAUGACAUUAACUGUCGGAAAUUCUGACCAAUCCAUUCUGAUGUGCUACAGAUUCACAUUUCUUUGAUUAUAUUGUGACUAACUAAUUAUGUUUUUUGCAUUAGAAGCAUUAUUGCUUAGGAAAACAUUUUAAAUCAUGCAAUCUUAAGUCUCCAUCUAGCAUUUAUUCAUAUAUGCAGAUCCUCAAAAAAUGGAAGUGACCCAGGCCCAUUUCAAGCUCUGAGAGGUAUGAUCCAGUGUAUAAAUUACUUUAUACAUAAAUAGGAAUUCAAAAACAAAAUAAGUUUAUAAAUCUGUCUGAUUUGGGCUGCUUAUAACCACCAGUAGUACACUCCAGAGAAAAUGUAUUUCAUUUAAACCGAUUUUUAGCUCACCCUAUGAUUUCCCAAUUCAAUUUUCUCUGAAGGAGGAAGUGUAAAUGUGAAAGGUAGGUGGGGAAGGAAGUGAGGUGUGAAGGAAGGGCUAAUUAUUGUGGGAGUAGAGGGAAGAAAAUUCCUGUGGGGGAAAAUAUAAGGAGUCUAGAUUUUAAUAAAGAAGAAGAAAGAAAGGAUGACCUAAGCUUUGGUGUUUGGUUAGAGUAAUGAUUGGCAAACCUUUUUUCUGCAAAAGUCCAGGGAGUCACAAUGGAACCUUUGCAGACCAUUUUGGCAUCUGUCUUCUGCUACUCAACUCUGCCAGGACAAUAGGGGCAUGGCUGUGUUCCAGUAAAAUUGGCCUACGGGUGGUAUACCCUGGUUUUUCUUGAACACAUACAAAGAAAUAUACUACAAUUAGAAAGAAUACAUACAACUUUGUUACUCCCGAUGAUCUGAACGUGGACAUGCUCCUGGUGAGAGAGAAAGAAAGCAAAGUUUUAACAAUGAAGAAUGAAUAUUUGCAUCUACUUGGAAUUAUUCUUGAAUAUAGAGUUAUUAAAAGUUAGACAUUGGUUGAGAUAAAUAGAAAGCAUCAUAUUUGAAUAAAUUUAAUGAGAUGAUUUCAUGAUUUUGUUUCUUG